AAAAAUCAUAUCACGUCACAAUAUUGUUAGAAAGAGGUCUAGAAGGCACAAGAUCCCUGGGAAUCUACAAUAUGUCAGGAACCUGUAUUCCCUGGGCUGACGUAUGUAACAUUCAAUACAAUUUCUGCGCAUGGUUGAGCCACUGUUCUGGUUCUCUGUGUCUGCUGAGUGCCAUUGCUGUACCAUACAGGUAGAGUUGAUUCUCCUUCCUCAUUGAGUGCUAUCUGGCCAGUUCACUGAGCACCCACUCCCCUCUUUCCUGCCCUCUGGGGCAGCCACACACUGCCCUCAUCACAGGAGGACUGUUUUCUUUCUCUUUGAGGGGACUGUCCCUUGCCUUCUAUGACCAAUCCCUCCACCUCCAAUCAGGACCACCUGGGACUCUGGCAUGCAAUCCUUCUUGGUUUCAUCAUAUCCUUUUUCCCCUAGCCUGAGCACAGAGCUACAGGAAAACAAGAGUGUGAAUGAAGCCCUGAAGGGCUCAGUGGAUGAAGGCCCUAUGACUUCUUCCAGUCACCAGGACCUGUCUGCUUCCCAUGAGCUUCCCAGCACCAAUGUCUUCUUGUCUGAGGAGCACGCAGACUGUUCUGCACUGGGUGCAGCUACUGAGUACUCCCAUAGUCAAGAGAAGAAAGCUCCAACAGGUCUCCCAGAAACUCGAAAGGACCAGAAGGAUGAGGAAAGAGAACAGCCAACAGCCCCCAGAAAAUCAGGAAGACAAGGAGGAUGAGGAAGAGAAAGAACCACUGUCCAAAAUGAAUGAUCAGGGGAGGAUAAAGGACAGGGAGUUUGAUUUUCUAAUUUGAGUUCAGGCACGAGAGCUGACCCAGUUACACCUAAAGACACGGGAAGGAAGAGAGCUAUCUGUCCUGCUUAAUCAGAACCUCAAGGACCUCCUCGCCCGCAGUGACCUUAACAACCUCCAGGGGCAGGUCUUCCAAGAGCAAUUGGCUGAGGGAUGCAGGCUGUCCCAGGCCCUUGUCAGCAAGCUCAGCCCAGAAAACCAUGAAGAUGAGGCUGAAGAACAACUGGGAUCACUGACCCCCAGGAAAUACCAUUUCCUAAUUCAUGAUCAUGCAGGAAAGCUGACCCAGAUACGCCAGACGUCACGGGAAGGAAGAGAGGUCUCUGUCCUCCUCCAUCAGCACCUCAGGGACCUCCUCAUCCACAGUGACCUUGGCAGCGACUGGGGACAGGGCUUCCGAGAACAACUGGCUGAGGGACGCAGGCUGGCAGAGCACCUUGUCUGCAAGCUUAGCCCAGAAAACCUGGAAGACGAUGAAGAUGAGGAAGAACAAGAAUCACUGACCCCCCAGUCUGGAGAGGGAGCUGCAGGAGGCGAAUGUGAAUGAAAUCCUUCAAGAUCCAUCAGUGAACAGAAUUUGACUCCUUCCAGUCCUUGUGAUCUGUCUGCCUCCGGGGAGCCCCUCAGAAGCACUGCCUUUCCAUGUGAUGAGCCUCAAGUCAGCUUGGCUCUGGAGGCAGCCACUCCUCCCUGGGAGGCUUGUCAGCAGGUGCCUCUGAGGGGAAACUUGAGUUUCCAAAGGUCAGAGAUGCAAACUUCACAAGCACAGCUGGAGCCAAGCAGCAGAUACCAAGUACUUCUGAAACUAAGAAAAGAAGAAACCCCAUUAUAAAGUCACUUUUCCACUUGACAAAACAAAACUAAAACAGCAAAACAAGUUAAAGACCAGAGGGAUCCUUUGCUGAGAAUCCACAUCACUAACCACAAACCACUCUCCAGGAUGUUUACUCCAAAAGCCUGCUUCGAUGGGAGCAAUCCCAGCCCCUCAGCCUCCAGUUGUGGUACAUCGCGAAGGAGCCCAAUGCCUAGAUGCACACACGGUUCUGAGAGACCUUAACCCUCGCUCCUCUCAAUUCCCAUCCCCUACGAAACCAGAAUCAGGAGCAAGUGGGAAAAGACAACAUGUCGAACCGGACGUUCUUUGCCACCAGCAGGGCUGUGCUAGGAGCAGGCGGCAGUAACCAUGCAGUGUUCUUGUUGAGAAUGUGCAGGCUGAAUUUCAUCAUGAGGUCAUCAGACAACUGCAGGAUGUAGACCAUUGAACAAGACAACUGGCCUUUCUUCCAACAGUCAGUGCCACCACAAAGACAAUGACAAAGAGGAGAAGAGAUAUUUUGGGUUCCUAAGGACUGAAAAGAUUAUGUAAUUAUAUUUCUUUAGUCCUUUUGGACCAAAAAUAUCUCCUCACCUUUUUGUGGUUGUCUGUGGUGGUGGUGACGUGGCCUUGUUUGCAGGGGACAGGUCAGUUGUCCAGUUCAGUGGUCUACAUUCUGAAGUUGUCUGACCAUUUCCUCAUGAUUAAAUUCAGACUCACCCUUCUGCCAAGAACACUAUACAGUUAGUUUCUGCUGUGAGCGUCCUAGCGCAGUCCCCUGGAGACCAAGGAUGUCUAGUUUAUCUACCACCGUUACUGUGAGACUAGCAUUGGUCACUUUGUUCUGGAGGGCCUACGAGACCAGUUCAUUGUAAAGACACAUUUUUCUCUUCUAUCAUUAGUAAUUUGAUGAGUAGUGGUUUGAGAAUGUUUGAAUAUCCUCUUCUCUAAAGAUCUUUCUCUAAAAUUUUUACCAUCCAUUAAUGAGUCCUGCUGUGUGUCAGUCAUCAUAUUCCUGUUGGUACACUGGAGAUUUUCUAAUCUCAUAUUCCUCUAUACUUGUAGUUGUUGGCACAGUGCUGUGGAAAAGAACAUUCCCUCCCCCUUUCAUACCAUUAAAGUUUCUAUUGUGAC
rnacentral:lncRNA from 1 species